UCCGUAGGCGGUGUGGCAAGUCGGGAGUGAAAUCUCUGGGCUUAACCCAGAGGCUGCUUCCGAAACUGCCGUGCUAGAGUGUGAGAGAGGCGAGUGGAAUUGCGGGUGUAGCGGUGAAAUGCGUAGAUAUCCGCAGGAACAUCCGAGGCGAAAGCGGCUCGCUGGAUCACAACUGACGCUGAGGGACGAAAGCUAGGGGAGCAAACA
rnacentral:rRNA from 1 species